AAGCAGAGGACAGUGGCGGACGGGUGAGUAACGCGUGAGGAACCUGCCUUUCAGAGGGGGACAACAGUUGGAAACGACUGCUAAUACCGCAUGACACAUAGAUGUCGCAUGGCAUUUAUGUCAAAGAUUUAUCGCUGAAAGAUGGCCUCGCGUCUGAUUAGCUAGUUGGUGAGGUAACGGCUCACCAAGUCUGCGAUCAGUAGCCGGCCUGAGAGGGCGACCGGCCACAUUGGGACUGAGACACGGCCCAAACUCC
rnacentral:rRNA from 1 species